CCCAUCUGAUGCUAAGCCCUCCUUCUUCCAUGGGACUAGGAGACGCUGAGAAGAGAGGGAGGAUACUAACCUGCAAGGGACCCUCGAGGCCAGCAUUUCCGCCCUUGCCCGGACACACUCACUAGCUCUUCCAAUUCCGCCUAACCAAUCUCUGUGGUUCUAUGCCUGCCGGCUUCAGCCAAUUCAAGGCAAGAGUUCACACUGACACUCUUUUGGCUGCUUCAGGUGAAAGGCCUUACCAGAGGACAGCCCUCGUCACCGAUUGAAACAUCCACACCUUUUAAAAGCCACACAUACAUUCGAAGCCCUUCCACAAGAACAAUGGCUGUUUUGAGGGAGAACUCUAUUCAGUUUGCCGGGUCACGGGCAGACGGACAAAAACAAACAAAAGCCCAUUAGUCCCGCACAAAAUGACCACUGGACAUAAUUCAUCAGCCACGGUUACCACUGAGGACAAGUAAGGACAGUCUUUCCAAUUGUCUUCUCUACCCCAACAAACCCUCCGGGCGGGCGGGUGCUCAGAACAGCCUGGGGUUUUCUGAAUGACAAUGGCGUCCCCUACUUAAAAAAAGAAAAGGAGAACCCUGGGAUCCUGGGGACAUUCCUUUUCACUCCGCUUGACAGGCUGGCUCUGCCUCUGGAUCCAUUCACUGAUUCAACUGCGUGCCACUAAUUUCCAGCUUCCUUCCUUCCUGUCACCUUGUCCUUCCCGAGUCCAGCAGACUUCUGGCCUCUUAAAGCUGCCAGGUCAAGAGAGCUCAGCUUUGU